UACGGAGGGGGCUAGCGUUGUUCGGAAUUACUGGGCGUAAAGCGCACGUAGGCGGCUUUGUAAGUUAGAGGUGAAAGCCCAGGGCUCAACCCUGGAAUUGCCUUUAAGACUGCAUCGCUCGAACAUCGGAGAGGUAAGUGGAAUUCCGAGUGUAGAGGUGAAAUUCGUAGAUAUUCGGAAGAACACCAGUGGCGAAGGCGACUCUUUGGCCUGUAACUGACGCGUGAGGCGCGAAAGCGUGGGGAGCAAACAGG
rnacentral:rRNA from 1 species